rnacentral:tRNA from 6 species
GCUCGAGAAGCUCAGAGGUUGAGCGGAACGUUGAAGUUGUUUAGGUCGUGAGUUCGAAUCCCACCUUGGGCA